ACCAAGCCCAGUUGGUGGAGACUCCAGACCCAAUUCAAGUCUAAAUCGAGAGCUUAGUGGCAGAGGCUCGCCGCUAUUGGCUCGCAGAGAGAAAGUAGAGAUCACGUGCUUGGGGAUGUUGUAUUCUCCAAUCAUAAUGCAGAACGUGGAGGGAAAAGUCUGCCCCGAUGCUACGCAGUUUCUAAUGGCGGGAACUCAGGAUGGAAGAGUGCUGUUACUCCACAUGUUUUGGCAAGGCCUUAGGUAUCAUCAAUUUCAAGCCAAUAAGGAUGCGGUUCUGCAAGUGUAUCACGAUCAAACAAUGGG